ACACAUGCAAGUCGAACGAGAGAUGAGGAGCUUGCUCUUCAAAUCGAGUGGCGAACGGGUGAGUAACGCGUGAGGAACCUGCCUCAAAGAGGGGGACAACAGUUGGAAACGACUGCUAAUACCGCAUAAGCCCACGGCUCGGCAUCGAGCAGAGGGAAAAGGAGCAAUCCGCUUUGAGAUGGCCUCGCGUCCGAUUAGCUAGUUGGUGAGGUAACGGCCCACCAAGGCGACGAUCGGUAGCCGGACUGAGAGGUUGAACGGCCACAUUGGGACUGAGACACGGCCCAGACUCCUACGGGAGGCAGCAGUGGGGAAUAUUGCACAAUGGGGGAAACCCUGAUGCAGCGACGCCGCGUGGAGGAAGAAGGUCUUCGGAUUGUAAACUCCUGUUGUUGAGGAAGAUAAUGACGGUACUCAACAAGGAAGUGACGGCUAACUACGUGCCAGCAGCCGCGGUAAAACGUAGGUCACAAGCGUUGUCCGGAAUUACUGGGUGUAAAGGGAGCGCAGGCGGGAGAACAAGUUGGAAGUGAAAUCCAUGGGCUCAACCCAUGAACUGCUUUCAAAACUGUUUUUCUUGAGUAGUGCAGAGGUAGGCGGAAUUCCCGGUGUAGCGGUGGAAUGCGUAGAUAUCGGGAGGAACACCAGUGGCGAAGGCGGCCUACUGGGCACCAACUGACGCUGAGGCUCGAAAGUGUGGGUAGCAAACAGGAUUAGAUACCCUGGUAGUCCACACCGUAAACGAUGAUUACUAGGUGUUGGAGGAUUGACCCCUUCAGUGCCGCAGUUAACACAAUAAGUAAUCCACCUGGGGAGUACGACCGCAAGGUUGAAACUCAAAGGAAUUGACGGGGGCCCGCACAAGCAGUGG
rnacentral:rRNA from 1 species